rnacentral:rRNA from 1 species
UACGAAGGGGGCUAGCGUUGUUCGGAAUUACUGGGCGUAAAGGGCGCGUAGGCGGUGAUCUUUGUCAGAGGUGAAAGCCCGGGGCUCAACUCCGGAAUUGCCUUUGAAACGGGAUUGCUUGAGUCCGAGAGAGGAUGGCGGAAUUCCUAGUGUAGAGGUGAAAUUCGUAGAUAUUAGGAAGAGCACCGGUGGCGAAGGCGGCCAUCUGGCUCGGUACUGACGCUGAUGCGCGAAAGCGUGGGGAGCAAACAGGG